rnacentral:rRNA from 1 species
GGCGAGACCGCGGACGGCUCAUUAAAUCAGUCGUGGUCCAAAUGGGCCAGUCCUUGCUUACUUGGAUAACUGUGGUAAUUCCAGAGCUAAUACAUGCAUCUUAUACCCUGAUGGGAGUUCCUUCUUGCGCUUGACGCCUGGAGAGUCUCUUCUCUGACGGGUGCUUUUAUUAGACCAAACUGCUGGGGGUUUUGAGUUGGUGUGCUUGCACGCCUUCUCUGGCUCGACUCGCUUUAUGGUGACUCUGGAUAACCAAUCUGUUGACGAGCGCACGUACCCCUCUCUUGAGCGGGACGGCGCUGCCACUUUCGAGUGUCUGCCUUAUCAGCUGUCAACCGCUCGCUACACGCGACCGAUGGCUUUGACGGGUAACGGGGAAUCAGGGUUCGAUUCCGGAGAGGCAGCCUGAGAGACGGCUACCACGUCCAAGGACGGCAGCAGGCACGCAAAUUACCCAAUCCCAGCACCUGGGGGAGGUAGUGACGAAAUCUAACGAUGCGGGCGCCCUUUCUGGGCCCCGCAAUCGGAAUGGGCACUUUCUAAACAACCUGUUGAGAACCUACUGAAGGGCAAGUCUGGUGCCAGCAGCCGCGGUAAUUCCAGCUUCAGUAGCAUCUAUUAAAGUUGCUGCGGUUAAAAGGCUCGCAGUUGAAUGUCAGUGCCGGGCGUUGGAUAGGUGGACGUUGGGGCGUGAGAUCACGCCUUGGUUGUGCGCUGCUUGCUCUUGCUUGUGGCUGCUUCCUUGGCUCUUACAAGCUCCCGUCCGUAAAAAGCCUCCGCGCCUGUGUACAUAGUGGAACCUCUUUGGAGGCAUCAGCUUAGCCUCUUUCCGAGUGCCUUGCUUAGCGCUUGGUGCUUGGGCGGCGGUCGGUGCUCUCCUCUGGUUUCAGUGUCACCCUGAGUAAAUCAGAGUGCUUAAAGCAGUCGUAACGGGCAUUGCGCCCUGUGAACAGUCUUGACGGACUGACUUGGUUUUGCAUGGCAUGUCGGAAGACGACGUCGAGCGCUGGCUAAGAGAAUAUCAGUGGUGCAAGCCAGCCUCGACGUACUGAUUAAAAGGGCUUGUCGAGGGCAUUGGUAUUGUGGAGCGAGAGGUGAAAUUCUAUGACCUCCGCAAGACCGCCCGAAGCGAAAGCGUCUGCCAAGGAUGUUUUCAUUAAUCAUGAACGAAAGUUAGAGGAUCGAAGGCGAUCAGAUACCGCCCUAGUUCUAACCCUAAACGAUGCCAACCAUCAAUCCGCGCGUAGCACCCUUUUNGACGGGCUCGGCGGGCAGCUCCUUUCUCACGGGAAACCAGAGUCUCUGGGUUCCGGGGGGAGUCUGGUUGCAAAGCUGAAACUUAAAGGAAUUGACGGAAAGC